GGAGGGUGCAAGCGUUAAUCGGAAUUACUGGGCGUAAAGCGCACGCAGGCGGUUUGUUAAGUCAGAUGUGAAAUCCCCGGGCUCAACCUGGGAACUGCAUCUGAUACUGGCAAGCUUGAGUCUCGUAGAGGGGGGUAGAAUUCCAGGUGUAGCGGUGAAAUGCGUAGAGAUCUGGGGGAAUACCGGUGGCGAAGGCGGCCCCCUGGACGAAGACUGACGCUCAGGUGCGAAAGCGUGGGGAGCAAACAGGAUUAGAUACCCUGGUAGUCCACGCUGUAAACGAUGAAUACUAGGUGUGCGGGGACUGACCCCCUGCGUGCCGCAGCUAACGCAAUAAGUAUUCCACCUGGGGAGU
rnacentral:rRNA from 1 species